CUCUAAAUUCCCCACUAAAGCCCCAGACCAUGAUUGACCUGAAGUGUUCCAACCAAAGCUUGUCGGCAGUUUUGCUAUUAUAACUGUAAGCAGCCAGUCCACUUCCCCCUGUGACAAUAACCAGGGACUCCACUCUCCAGGAGUGAUCACAGCUGAUAGGGCCCUAGUCUCUCAGCAACCUCACUCAGUGCUAUGCACUUCUUUCUUACCCCUCCUCUCCUACCGCUAAAUGGACAGAUAGACCAGUUUUUCUGUCCUCCUUAGUCCUUCAUUUGUUAUCAGGAGGCUUGAGUUCCUGUCCUGAGGACACCAAAUCCACUGACUCUGUGGUAUCUGCUUUUUUAGUCCCCAACCCUGGGCUAGUCUGUGUCUUUGGAGGAGAAGCUGUAGCAGAUACAGCUGUUCUCAGGGCUCACAGCUUACAGGUGCAGAUUCUAGUGGUAUCCUCCAGGAUUCAAGGAAACAUGGAAUGAAGUUAACCCUUGAAGAACAGUGGGCACAAAAGAAGCAAGAGUUGCCUAUUCUGCUUCCCUUUGAGCCAGACAAACAAGGAGAGCCCCUCAACACAGAUGUGACACAGAACCAAGUUACUCUCCUGAGAAACAACUGCCUUGAUUCAUCUAAGGUGACGAGGCUAAGGUGGCAGGUGCCUAUUGGAGAGUAAAAUCAAAAGUUUGCUGAUAAAGUCUGUCAUUGCAACAACUCUUUGGCAUAAACAAAAGUGAGUCCUUUUAUUAAACAUGUCUGCAG
rnacentral:lncRNA from 1 species